rnacentral:rRNA from 1 species
GACGGAGGAUGCAAGUGUUAUCCGGAAUCACUGGGCGUAAAGCGUCUGUAGGUGGUUUAAAAAGUCUACUGUUAAAAAUUGAAGCUUAACUUCAAAGAUGCCGUAGAAACUUUUAAACUCGAGGAUGGUAGGGGUAGAGGGAAUUUCCAGUGGAGCGGUGAAAUGCGUAGAGAUCGGAAAGAACACCAACGGCGAAAGCACUCUGCUGGGCCGACACUGACACUGAGAGACGAAAGCUAGGGGAGCGAAUGGG